AUACGUAGGGAGCGAGCGUUGUCCGGAUUUACUGGGCGUAAAGGGCGCGUAGGCGGGUGGAUAAGUCAGGUGUGAAAGCUCCGGGCUCAACUUGGAAACUGCACUUGAAACUGUCUAUCUUGAGGUCAGGAGAGGAAAGUGGAAUUCCUAGUGUAGCGGUGAAAUGCGUAGAUAUUAGGAGGAACACCAGUGGCGAAGGCGACUUUCUGGACUGUACCUGACGCUGAGGCGCGAAAGCGUGGGGAGCAAACGGGAUUAGAUACCCCGGUAGUCCACGCUGUAAACGAUGGAUACUAGGUGUAGGAGGCAUCGACCUCUUCUGUGCCGCAGCUAACGCAAUAAGUAUCCCGCCUGGGGAGUACGGCCGCAAGGUUGAAACUCAAAUGAAUUGACGGGG
rnacentral:rRNA from 1 species